rnacentral:rRNA from 1 species
CCUACGGGGGGCUGCAGUGAGGAAUAUUGGUCAAUGGACGAGAGUCUGAACCAGCCAAGUAGCGUGAAGGAUGACUGCCCUAUGGGUUGUAAACUUCUUUUAUAUGGGAAUAAAAUGUUCCACGUGUGGGAUUUUGUAUGUACCAUAUGAAUAAGGAUCGGCUAACUCCGUGCCAGCAGCCGCGGUAAUACGGAGGAUCCGAGCGUUAUCCGGAUUUAUUGGGUUUAAAGGGAGCGUAGGUGGAUUGUUAAGUCAGUUGUGAAAGUUUGCGGCUCAACCGUAAAAUUGCAGUUGAAACUGGCAGUCUUGAGUACAGUAGAGGUGGGCGGAAUUCGUGGUGUAGCGGUGAAAUGCUUAGAUAUCCCGAAGAACUCCGAUUGCGAAGGCAGUUCACUGGACUGCAACUGACACUGAGGCUCGAAAGUGUGGGUAUCAAACAGGAUUAGAUACCCGAGUAGUC